rnacentral:rRNA from 1 species
AUUGAACGCUGGCGGCAUGCUUUACACAUGCAAGUCGAACGAGUGGCGAACGGGUGAGUAAUAUAUCGGAACUUACCGAGUAAUGGGGGAUAACCAAUCGAAAGAUUGGCUAAUACCGCAUAUUAUUCGAGCGGCCGAUAACUGUUUAGCUAGUUGGUGGGGUAAAGGCCUACCAAGGGGACGAUCAGGAACGGGUAUGAGAGGACGAUCCGCCACACUUGGACUGAGACAAGGCCCAGACUCCUACGGGAGGCAGCAGGGGGGAAUUUUGGAGAAUGGGGGAAACCCUGAUCCAGCCAUGCCGCGUGUAUGAAGAAGGCCUUCGGGUUGUAAAGUACUUUUGUUAGGGAAGCGGUACAUAAAGAAUAAGCACCGGCUAACUACGUGCCAGCAGCCGCGGUAAUUC